rnacentral:tRNA from 14 species
AAUAGCUCAGUUGGGAGAGUGUCAGACUGAAGAUCUGAAAGCCUUGUGUUCGAUUCACAG